GGAUACGAUCUGAUCCGGACUGAAGAGCCCGGGAAGAUGACCCGGUUGAUAGGUCACAGAUGUAAGUGCAGUAAUGUAUUGAGUCGAGUGAUACUAAUAGCUCGUGAGGCUUGACCAU
rnacentral:rRNA from 1 species